GAGGGUAUAGCUCAGUUGAAGAGAGUGUGUUUAGCAUGCAUAAGGUCCUGGGUUCAAUUCCUGGCACCUCCA
rnacentral:tRNA from 1 species